AUUGAACGCUGGCGGCAUGCUUUACACAUGCAAGUCGAACGGUAACAGGCCUUCGGGUGCUGACGAGUGGCGAACGGGUGAGUAAUGCAUCGGAACGUGCCCAAUCGUGGGGGAUAACGUAGCGAAAGUUACGCUAAUACCGCAUAAGCCCUGAGGGGGAAAGCAGGGGAUCGCAAGACCUUGCGCGAAUGGAGCGGCCGAUGUCAGAUUAGCUAGUUGGUGGGGUAAAGGCCUACCAAGGCGACGAUCUGUAGCGGGUCUGAGAGGAUGAUCCGCCACACUGGGACUGAGACACGGCCCAGACUCCUACGGGAGGCAGCAGUGGGGAAUUUUGGACAAUGGGCGCAAGCCUGAUCCAGCCAUGCCGCGUGCGGGACGAAGGCCUUCGGGUUGUAAACCGCGUUUCUAGCCGGAAAGAAAUACGCCAAGGCGUAAUAUACCUUGGUGGAUGACGGUACCGGAAGAAGAAGCACCGGCUAACUACGUGCCAGCAGCCGCGGUAAA
rnacentral:rRNA from 1 species